UACGUAGGGUGCGAGCGUUGUCCGGAAUUAUUGGGCGUAAAGAGCUUGUAGGCGGUUUGUCGCGUCUGCCGUGAAAAUCCGGGGCUCAACCCCGGACUUGCGGUGGGUACGGGCAGACUAGAGUGUGGUAGGGGAGACUGGAAUUCCUGGUGUAGCGGUGAAAUGCGUAGAUAUCGGGAGGAACACCUAUGGCGAAAGCAGGUUUCUGGGCCAUCACUGACGCUGAGCUGCGAAAGCUAGGGGAGCAAACAGG
rnacentral:rRNA from 1 species